rnacentral:rRNA from 1 species
UACGUAGGGCGCGAGCGUUGUACGGAUUCAUUGGGCGUAAAGGGUGCGUAGGCGGCGCGGUAAGUCGGGUGUGAAAUCUCGGAGCUUAACUCCGAAACUGCAUUCGAUACUGCCGUGCUUGAGGACUGGAGAGGAGACUGGAAUUUACGGUGUAGCGGUGAAAUGCGUAGAUAUCGUAAGGAAGACCAGUGGCGAAGGCGGGUCUCUGGACAGUUCCUGACGCUGAGGCACGAAGGUCAGGGGAGCAAACGGG